GAGGGAUGGAUCUGCAGGGAACACCCUUGGGGAAAACCUUCCUGCCUGUGAGAUCUCAGGGGCAAAGGCAGCGAGCAUUUCCUUUCCCUUUCAAAGCAGAGGGAAAAUGCCAGCAAAGAGCUCCCGGGGAGAAGAUUUGUCACCAGGCAGGCUGGGGCGUCACACUGAGCAGAGUCUGGACAUCUCAGAGCUGCAGCAGUGCCCUUCCCAGGCACCCUCCAGAACUCUGCCAUCUGCAUCCCAGUGUGCUGCUCUGCCCUGUCCUUGCCAGGGCACAGGAUUCUGCAGCUCCACCUGCCCCCAGGACAUCAGGGAGCUUCUGGAGAUCUGCAGGGCACAGGAUUCUGCAGCUCCACCUGCCCCCAGGACAUCAGGGAGCUUCUGGAGAUCUGCAGGGCACAGGAUUCUGCAGCUCCACCUGCCCCCAGGACAUCAGGGAGCUUCUGGAGAUCCUCCCCCCGCAGCGUGUGCCCAGCCCAGAGCAUCCUGCCUUGCUGAGGGACAGCACACGAGCUGCUCUCCCUGAUUUUAUUCCCCAUUUCAGGCUGUCGGGGCAGCUGGAAUAUCUGCAGUGAGUUGCACAGGUCUUUGCAACUCAUCUGCAGCUUUCCUGUCCCCGGCAGAAUGGAAAAUUUCAACCAAAAGAAUGAUUUGUUGCUGUUUUUGCAGCAGCAGAAGCUCCCUCCUGACCCAAAGGCUCCUCGCCCUGCCAGCUCUGUGACUCGGAUCCUUGGGGAAGAAAUGCAGCUCACGGUGGAGUAACCCUCCAAAUUUUCCAGCCCAUGAGAGGCCCAGUGGUUGUGACAGCGCAGAAUCUCUGCUGUGACACUGCCAUCCAUCACCAGGCAGGCGUCUGGGCACCGCCAGGAGAAAGACAAACAGCAUCUGUCCGAGCUCAGUGGGGAGGCACCGCAGCUCUCCCAGCUGUCCCUGUGUCUGGGAGCCCAGGACAAAGCAGGAUUCAAGGACAGCAUUUCCAGCCCUUCAUCCCCCUGGACAGGAGGGGCUGCGGGGAGGAGACCCCAGCACACGACAAGGGACAGGCUGAGUGACAGCCCCUCAGCCUCUGUGUCACCCCAGUGGCCUUUGAGACAUCUCCAACUGGCAAAAGGUCCUUGAAAAGGCUCCUGGUUGCUCACUCAGGAUUUCUGUUAUCCACAAUUCUGGGAUCUGAGAUGUUCUGGGCUGGGAAGACAGGAGGGUCCUGGUGGAUGAAAUGGACAACAAAGGAGCUCAGGCACAGAAGGUUCUGCAGAUUCCUGCAGUGUUCCUCCUGGAAAUCAUCCCCCUCAUUUCCCCUGGCUCUGAAUCCUGGCUCCUGUGACCCUGAACACCCUGGCUGGCUGUAAUUAAAGGCCCAGCAAUUGCCUGUU